GUAUGUGUGCGUGUGCGUGUAAAACACCGGUUCUCGUCCGAUCACCGAAGUUAAGCAACAUCGAGCCUAGUUAGUACUUAAAUGGGUGACCGCUUGGGAAACCUAGGUGCUGUAAGCA
rnacentral:rRNA from 1 species